CAAGAUAUAGGUCAUUUUCAUAUAUCGGUUUUGAGAACAGUAGCAAAGACAUUAAAAUACGCGACUGAAAUAUGAUGAAAUCUGAUACCUACAAUCAAUUUCAUAAAUAUUUUGGUCGCUUUUUCUUUGUCAAGUUUGCAUAAACUUUCUUGAAUUUGCUUGUAUAUCAUUGUAAUAAACAAUAUCAACAGACAUUUCUAGACUAUAUAUGACUGAUAGAAGACUCUAGCAAAUCUUAUAAAUAUUGAAUAGGAACAACGUCAGGCAGCGUUGUUGUAGGCUAAUAUUCGCUAAUAAGUGCACCCGUGAUUCAAAUAUAUGGAUAUUUUAACUCCUAUUUUCCUACAAAGAGAUUUGCAACACAUUGUUACGGUUGCUUCUACCAGUCAAGUUUUAACAAGCCAAAAAAAUACUCUGUUACAUCAUCAUUAAUCUACAUACAUAAUGUAGCCUGCGUGACAGGCUCUCUGG